ensembl:lncRNA novel transcript
GGGCGAGGAGGAGGGUGGGUAUGAGGCGGUAGCGGACCGCGGAGUCGAGACCUACCCGAACGACGCGGGCGAGCGGGGCUUUGGACGCCGGUGGAGACGCAGGCGAGCAGGAAGAAGAUGAGCCUUAGGUCUGAACGCCGAGGAAUUCAUGUGGAUCCUGUGCAAGAAAGGAUGUGGUUACUGUGGCAACCCUACCUGGCAGGGUUUCUGCUCCAAGUGCUGGAGGGAAGAGUAGCACAAAGCCAGGCAGAAGCAGAUUCAGGAGUACUGGGAGCUGGUGGAACGACUCCAGCGGGAGGAAGAAGAGGCCUUUGCCAGCAGUCAGAGCAGCCAAGGGGCCCAAUCCCUCACAUUCUCCAAGUUUGAAGGAAAGAAAACCAACAAGAAGACCCGCAAGGUUACCACAGUGAAGAAAUCUUCAGUACGUCUUCCAGGGUCGGAUCAAAGAAGGGCUGGAGUGCAAUGGCGCGAUCUCGGCUCACUGCAACCUCCACCUAUUGGGUUCAAGUGAUUCUCCUGCCUCAGCCUCCCAAUAGCUGGGAUUACAGAUAUUGAAAUGGAUUCCAGGCGUGUGCCUCGAGACAAGCUGGCCUGCAUCACCAAGUGCAGCAAGCACAUCUUCGAUGCCAUCAAGAUCACCUAGAACGAGCUGGCGUCAGCAGAUGACUUCCUCCCCACCCUCAUCUACAUUGUUUUGAAGGGCAACCCCCAUGCCUUCAGUCUAAUAUCCAGUAUAUCACGUGCUUCUGCAAUCCAAGCCGACUGAUGACUGGAGAGGAUGGCUACUAUUUCACCAAUCUGAGGCUGGGCACUCACUGCAGCUGGCUAAUGAUGACCAUGUGGACAUGCUUUCGGGCCUUCAGGAUCUUCUCCAGCCAGUGGAUGUCACACAGUCUCACUCUGUUGCCCAGUCUGGAGUGCAGUGGCGCAGUCUCGGUUCACUGCAACCUCUGCCUCUCAGGUUCAAGCCAUUCUCGUGCAUCAGCCUCCUGAGAGCUGGGACUACAGGCGCCUGCCACCACAUCCGACAACGGUGUUGGAGUCUUGGGCCCAAAGACCAGCUCCUAGAACCUGCAGGGAAGCAACGGCACGUUCCAUCUCUCCCCAUGCCACUGAGGAAUCAUUGGUGGCAGGAUUCUCAGCAGGCAUGGCCGUGGGUGCACAGAACAGAGAAAGGAUGGCCUGGACCACACACAUCACUGUGUGCAGAUGCUUUCCUAGACACUGCAGCCAAGGACACAGAGGCUCAGAGAGAAUAACCUCCAUCUCCUGGGUCCCAGCGAUUCUCCUGCCUCAGCCUCUUCCUAUUUCACAAGUAGGGAAACUGAAGCCCAGGUAGGCAAGCCUGACUUGCUGGAGUCACACAGGAAGUUGGCAGCUCUGCUCCAUCCCUGGGAUCUGGAGCCCCUGCUCUGGGGAAGGAGAGGUGGGGCGCUGCCUUCCCAGAGUCCCCUCAAGCUGGCAGGGACGGCUGUACCCCCAGGGUCAGAGGAGAACUAAAAGGAGCGGAAGCUGGCCUGGGUCCAGGGAGAGACCUCGUGUUUGCCCAAAAGGGAGCUGGAGAGGGGCAGCUGGGCCCAUAUGCAGGGAGGAGCUGCAGGGAGCUGGUGGCGGGGCAGCAAAGAGAAGUGGAUUUGGUGGGUAGAGGGGCCCCUCCUUGGUUCUAGUCCUCCCCGCAGCCCCUUGCAAACAGGCGGGGCUCUCCUGUCCUUCUUGUCUCCUGCAGCAAGCCCUACAUGAAGAGGCCUCUUUGGUGAGUGGCAGCUCAACCUCUGCUAAAUGCCUCCAGUGAUGGGGAGUUCACUACCUUCCAAAGUUUUUAAAAGAUGUUAACCACUGCUAUUCAAGAACAAUUCUAGAAUUUUUUUUUUUUUGAAAGACAAGGUCUCAUUCUGUCUCGCAGGCCAGAGUGCAGUGGUGUGAUCAUAGCUCACUGCAGCUUUGACUUCCUGGGCUCAAGCAAUCCUCCCUCCUCAGCCUCCUGAGUACCUGAGACUACAGAUGUGCACCACCACACUGGCUCAUUGUUUUCAUUUUUUGUAGAGACAGGAUCUCACUAUGUUGCCCAGGCUGGUCUCCUGGCUUCAAGCAAUCCUCCUGCCUUGGCCUCCCAAAGUGCUGGGAUUACAGGCGUGAGCCACUGCAUCUGGCCUUUUUUUUUUGGAGAUAGAGUCUCGCUCUGUCGCCCAGGGUGGAGUGCAGUGGCGUGAUCUCGGCUCAUUGCAACCUCCGCCUUCCGGGUUCACACCAUUCUCCUGCCUCAGCCUCCCGAGUAGCUGGGAUUACAGGCAUCUGCCAACCAUGCCUGGCUAAUUUUUGUAUUUUUUGGUGGAGACAGGGUCUCACCAUGUUGGCUAGGCUGGUUUCGAACUCCCGACCUCAGGUGAUCUACCCGCCUCAGCCUCCCAAAGUCCUGGGAUUACAGGCUGAGCCACCGCGACCGGCCCUGCUGUUGCUUCUGAGGUUUGAAAACCGCUGCCUCAAUGCUCCUGAUUCAGCUCUUCUUACCCAAAGGUUCCCCCACCUCAUCUACUCUGUUCCUGCACAGUCGCCCUUUUCUCUGAUGCCCCGGGCAGGUUUCUCUCUGCCAGCUCCACGCUUC